AGCGGUGUGAACAGGCAGUGGUAGCGGUGUGAACAGGCAGUGGUAGCGGUGUGAACAGGCAGUGGUAGCGGUGUGAACAGGCAGUGGUAGCGGUGUGAACAGGCAGUGGUAGCGGUGUGAACAGGUAGUGGUAGCGGUGUGAACAGGCAGUGGUAGCGGUGUGAACAGGCAGUGGUAGCGGUGUGAACAGGCAGUGGUAGCGGUGUGAACAGGCAGUGGUAGCGGUGUGAACAGGCAGUGGUAGCGGUGUGAACAGGCAGUGGUAGCGGUGUGAACAGGUAGUGGUAGCGGUGUGAACAGGCAGUGGUAGCGGUGUGAACAGGCAGUGGUAGCGGUGUGAACAGGCAGUGGUAGCGGUGUGAACAGGCAGUGGUAGCGGUGUGAACAGGCAGUGGUAGCGGUGUGAACAGGUAGCGGUGUG